rnacentral:ncRNA from 1 species
GCGGUACCGGUUCACGCCUGAGGGCGACCCGGCGACC